rnacentral:rRNA from 1 species
UGGGGAAUAUUGCACAAUGGGCGCAAGCCUGAUGCAGCCAUGCCGCGUGUAUGAAGAAGGCCUUCGGGUUGUAAAGUACUUUCAGCGGGGAGGAAGGCGAUAAGGUUAAUAACCUUGUCGAUUGACGUUACCCGCAGAAGAAGCACCGGCUAACUCCGUGCCAGCAGCCGCGGUAAUACGGAGGGUGCAAGCGUUAAUCGGAAUUACUGGGCGUAAAGCGCACGCAGGCGGUCUGUCAAGUCGGAUGUGAAAUCCCCGGGCUCAACCUGGGAACUGCAUUCGAAACUGGCAGGCUAGAGUCUUGUAGAGGGGGGUAGAACUCCAGGUGUAGCGGUGAAAUGCGUAGAGAUCUGGAGGAAUACCGGUGGCGAAGGCGGCCCCCUGGACAAAGACUGACGCUCAGGUGCGAAAGCGUGGGGAGCAAACA